AUGGCGCGGUGGUUGCAAUUUCCUGCGGGUUUUGGUGGUGGACGGAGGUGUGGGACAGAGGCUUUCCUGGGAAAGAAGGAGUUCCGGCACGGUCUCAGAUGUGAGAGAGAGAAAGGAUUCGGUCAGUUUCUGGCGAUGGGAGGGUGUUGCUCGGUUUUCCGGCGAGGUAUGAAUUCCGGCGAGUAUUGGAACUUAGGGACAAUGAUCAUUGAUGAAUAA